rnacentral:rRNA from 1 species
UGGCGGACGGGGGAGUAAUGUCUGGGAAACUGCCCGAUGGAGGGGGAUAACUACUGGAAACGGUAGCUAAUACCGCAUAACGUCGCAAGACCAAAGAGGGGGACCUUCGGGCCUCUUGCCAUCGGAUGUGCCCAGAUGGGAUUAGCUAGUAGGUGGGGUAACGGCUCACCUAGGCGACGAUCCCUAGCUGGUCUGAGAGGAUGACCAGCCACACUGGAACUGAGACACGGCCCAG